GAUUACGGGUAAUGAAGAACAAGUGAGUUUUCGACUAGAGUCUCUGAUGCUGCUACUUUGUUGGCGGUAGUUGAAGACCAAACCCUUGGCUGUCUGAACUCAAUC
rnacentral:snoRNA from 1 species